GGGGUCUUAGCUCAGCUGGGAGAGCAUCUGCCUUACAAGCAGGGGGUCAUAGGUUCGAGCCCUAUAGGCCCCA
rnacentral:tRNA from 2 species